CCGUUCCGCCGCAGCCGUGUGGGGGGGGACACCCCCGCCCCCCCCACCCCCGGACGCCUGGGCCCCUCGGACGCCUGGGCCCCGGCGGGCCGGGGCUGCUGCGAGCUCGCCGCUGCUCAAGCAUGGCGGAGGCGCGGCGGGCCCAGGCCUUCGGGCUGGCGCUGGGGGCGUCGGGGGCGGCCGGGGGGCCGGGGGGGGCCCUGCGUCACCUCUGCCUGGCGGCGCUGCGCGCCUGGACCACGCGCCUGCGGCGCGGGGGGCUGGCGCUGCCCCACGGCGGCGCCCGCAGCUGGCUGGUCCUCGCCGGCGCCAUGGGGCUGUGCCAGGCCGUGGGGCUGGACCCCUCGCUGGGGCUGGCGGGCGCCCUCGCCGGGGGGCUGCC